rnacentral:rRNA from 1 species
AGCGAACGCUGGCGGCAGGCCUAACACAUGCAAGUCGAACGAAGUCUUCGGACUUAGUGGCGGACGGGUGAGUAACACGUGGGAACGUGCCUUUAGGUUCGGAAUAACUCAGGGAAACUUGUGCUAAUACCGAAUGUGCCCUUCGGGGGAAAGAUUUAUCGCCUUUAGAGCGGCCCGCGUCUGAUUAGCUAGUUGGUGAGGUAAAGGCUCACCAAGGCUACGAUCAGUAGCUGGUCUGAGGAUGACCAGCCACAUUGGGACUGAGACACGGCCCAAACUCCUACGGGAGGCAGCAGUGGGGAAUCUUGCGCAAUGGGCGAAAGCCUGACGCAGCCAUGCCGCGUGGAUGAUGAAGGUCUUAGGAUUGUAAAAUCCUUUCACCGGUGAAGAUAAUGACUGUAGCCGGAGAAGAAGCCCCGGCUAACUUCGUGCCAGCAGCCGCGGUAAUAC